CCUACGGGGGGCAGCAGUGAGGAAUAUUGGUCAAUGGACGAGAGUCUGAACCAGCCAAGUAGCGUGAAGGAUGACUGCCCUAUGGGUUGUAAACUUCUUUUAUAUGGGAAUAAAAUGUUCCACGUGUGGGAUUUUAUAUGUACCAUAUGAAUAAGGAUCGGCUAACUCCGUGCCAGCAGCCGCGGUAAUACGGAGGAUCCGAGCGUUAUCCGGAUUUAUUGGGUUUAAAGGGAGCGUAGGUGGAUUGUUAAGUCAGUUGUGAAAGUUUGCGGCUCAACCGUAAAAUUGCAGUUGAAACUGGCAGCCUUGAGUACAGUAGAGGUGGGCGGAAUUCGUGGUGUAGCGGUGAAAUGCUUAGAUAUCACGAAGAACUCCGAUUGCGAAGGCAGCUUACUGGACUGCAACUGACACUGAGGCUCGAAAGUGUGGGUAUCAAACAGGAUUAGAUACCCUAGUAGUC
rnacentral:rRNA from 1 species